rnacentral:rRNA from 1 species
GACGAACCGUACGAACGUUAUUCGGAAUUACUGGGCUUAAAGGGUGCGUAGGCGGCGUAGAAAGUUGGGUGUGAAAUCCCUCGGCUCAACCGAGGAACUGCGCCCAAUACUGCUAUGCUUGAGGGAGACAGAGGUGAGCGGAACUUAGGGUGGAGCGGUGAAAUGCGUUGAUAUCCUAAGGAACACCCGUGGCGAAAGCGGCUCACUGGGUCUCUUCCGACGCUGAGGCACGAAAGCUAGGGUAGCGAACGGG